rnacentral:tRNA from 1 species
AAAAAGGUAAGCUAAUAAAGCUAUUGGGUUCAUACCCCAAUUAUGAAAGAAAAUCUUUCCCUCUUUA